rnacentral:ncRNA from 1 species
GAUUAGUUUUAUUCUUGCUAUGUUGUUCAGUAUUUUCUUGCUUUAUAUGUAAGUUUUUGCGUGAGUGUGCCAUUGGAUUCUUGAUGGGUGUUAGGGUUUUAUUAGGGAUUUGAGUUUAAUCGCAUUAUUUAUCAUUAUAUAUUUUGGUCUUUAAGAUUUAGCAAUGAUUUUUAGUGGUGGCUAAGUUUGUGCCAGCAGUCGCGGUUAUACAUUAAGCGCUGUUGAAUAUUUUUGGUUAUACAGUUAUAUUUUUUUUUGUUUGGCAUGUUUUGUUUGUUUAAUUUAGGUGGAAUUAUUUAAUUUUCAAUUAUUGCUUUGUGUAGUUAGUUGGAGGCUGUGAAAUCUUUGUUUUAAACUAGGAUUAGAUACCCUAUUAUUUUAGAUGUUAAUUUGUUUUGUCCUGGGUAGUAUUAGGUAUGUUCUUGAAACCUAAAGAAUUUGGCGGUAUCUUAUUCCUUUCAGAGGAAUCUGCCCUGUAAUCGGUAGUCCGCGCUGUACCUUACUUAAUUUUUUUUUGUUUGUAUACCGCCGUUAUAGUGAAGAUCUUUUUAGUGUUGUAUAAUUUUCUAGUUUUAUAAUUGUAAUUUAUUUCAGGUCAAGGUGCAGCUUGUUUUUGAGUUUGAGGUGGAUUACAUUGUGUUUUGUUUAUUGGAUUAUUGAUUGUGAUUUUAUUGGUAUGAAAUUGGAUUUGAUUGUAAUUUGUUAUAGAUUGUAUUGAUGAUAUUGGAUCUAGGAUAUGUACACAUCGCCCGUCGCUCUCAUUACUGGUUGAGAUAAGUCGUAACAAAGUGGUCGUACCGGAAGGUGUGGCUGGAAUGUC